CCCUCCUUCUUAAGGCAGCCACCAGGGGUGAUUAUCAAUCAAUGGAAGAAACCCUGACGCAGCGACGCCGCGUGAACGAUUAAUUCCUUCGGUUAAUAAAGCUCUGUCUUCCCUGACGAUAAUGACGGUAAGGGAGGAGGAACCCACGGCUAAAUACGUCCCAGCAGCCGCGGUAAUAUGUAGGUGGCGAGCGUUCUCCAGAAUUAGGGGGUGUAAAGGGUGUGUAGGCGGCUCUUUAAUUGGGAUGUGAAAUUCCUGGUCUCAACCCAGCAACUGCAUUCCAAACUGGAGAGUUAGAGUGCAGGAGAGGAAAGCGGAAUUCCCAGUGUAGCGGUGAAAUGCGUAGAGAUUGGGAGGAACCCCAGUGGCGAAGGCGGCUUUGGGGACUGUAACUGGCGGAGAGGCAAGAAAGCGGGGGGCGCAAACAGGAUUAGAUACCGUGGUAGUCCACGCUGUAAACGAUGGGUACUAGGUGUAGGAGGCGAAGCCAUCUGUGCCGCAGCUAACGCAUUAAGUACCCCGCCUGGGGAGUACGGUCGCAAGAUUAAAACUCAAAGGAAUUGACGGGGGCCCGCACAAGCAGCGGAGCAUGUGGUUUAAUUCGAAGCAACGCGAAGAACCUUACCAGGGCUUGACAUCCACCGAACCCUGUGGAAACACGGGGGUGCCCUUCGGGGAACGGUGAGACAGGUGGUGCAUGGUUGUCGUCAGCUCGUGUCGUGAGAUGUUGGGUUAAGUCCCGCAACGAGCGCAACCCUUGCCUUUAGUUGCCAGCAAUUCGGUUGGGCACUCUAGAGGGACUGCCUGGGUUAACCAGGAGGAAGGUGGGGAUGACGUCAAAUCAUCAUGCCCCUUAUGCUCUGGGCUACACACGUGCUACAAUGGCCGGUACAAUGAGUUGCAAACCCGCGAGGGGGAGCUAAUCUCAAAAACCGGUCCCAGUUCGGAUUGUAGGCUGCAACUCGCCUACAUGAAGCUGGAGUUGCUAGUAAUCGCGGAUCAGCAUGUCGCGGUGAAUACGUUCCCGGGCCUUGUACACACCGCCCGUCACACCAUGAGAGCCGGCAACACCCGAAGCCAGUGGGCUAACCCGCAAGGGAGGCAGCUGUCGAAGGUGGGGCUGGUGAUUGGGGU
rnacentral:rRNA from 1 species